AUUGAACGCUGGCGGCAUGCCUUACACAUGCAAGUCGAACGGCAGCACGGGAGCAAUCCUGGUGGCGAGUGGCGAACGGGUGAGUAAUAUAUCGGAACGUGCCCAGUCGUGGGGAUAACGUAGCGAAAGCUACGCUAAUACCGCAUACGAUCUAUGGAUGAAAGCGGGGGAUCGCAAGACCUCGCGCGAUUGGAGCGGCCGAUAUCAGAUUAGGUAGUUGGUGAGGUAAAGGCUCACCAAGCCGACGAUCUGUAGCUGGUCUGAGAGGACGACCAGCCACACUGGGACUGAGACACGGCCCAGACUCCUACGGGAGGCAGCAGUGGGGAAUAUUGGACAAUGGCGAAAGACCUGAUCCAGCCAUGCCGCGUGUGUGAAGAAGGUCUUCGGAUUGUAAAGCACUUUAAG
rnacentral:rRNA from 1 species